GCUUAACGCGAAGAACCUUACCUAGACUUGACAUCUCCUGAAUUACCGGUAAUGCGGGAAGCCCUUCGGGGCAGGAAGACAGGUGGUGCAUGGUUGUCGUCAGCUCGUGUCGUGAGAUGUUGGGUUAAGUCCCGCAACGAGCGCAACCCUUAUUGUUAGUUGCUACCAUUCAGUUGAGCACUCUAGCGAGACUGCCGGGGUUAACUCGGAGGAAGGUGGGGAUGACGUCAAAUCAUCAUGCCCCUUAUGUCUAGGGCUACACACGUGCUACAAUGGCGAGUACAAAGAGAUGCGAUACCGCGAGGUGGAGCCAAACUCAAAAACUCGUCCCAGUUCGGAUUGUAGGCUGAAACUCGCCUACAUGAAGCCGGAGUUGCUAGUAAUCGCGAAUCAGAAUGUCGCGGUGAAUACGUUCCCGGGUCUUGUACACACCG
rnacentral:rRNA from 1 species